rnacentral:rRNA from 1 species
UGAGGAAUAUUGGACAAUGGGUGAGAGCCUGAUCCAGCCAUCCCGCGUGAAGGACGACGGCCCUCUGGGUUGUAAACUUCUUUUGUAUAGGGAUAAACCUUUCCACGUGUGGAAAGCUGAAGGUACUAUACGAAUAAGCACCGGCUAACUCCGUGCCAGCAGCCGCGGUAAUACGGAGGGUGCAAGCGUUAUCCGGAUUUAUUGGGUUUAAAGGGUCCGUAGGCGGAUCUGUAAGUCAGUGGUGAAAUCUCAUAGCUUAACUAUGAAACUGCCAUUGAUACUGCAGGUCUUGAGUAAAGUAGAAGUGGCUGGAAUAAGUAGUGUAGCGGUGAAAUGCAUAGAUAUUACUUAGAACACCAAUUGCGAAGGCAGGUCAAUAUGUUUUAACUGACGCUGAUGGACGAAAGCGUGGGGAGCGAACAGG